rnacentral:tRNA from 1 species
UGGUAAUUAGUUUAAUUAGAACAAUUGAUUUCGACUCACUAAGUUAUGAAUUACCUCAUAAUUACCAU